GCCUUUAAAAAUAAACAUUAAUAGGAUAGGAUCAAAAUAACAUUUUGGGCCUCAAAUGUUAAAAAAAAGCAAAGUCGUGAAACAAAUCCGCAGGUGGAAGCUGGAGAAAACUAAAUUGUUUUUUUUUGUAUUACAAUACUAGUUUUAUUGGUUAUACUGGCUAUUUAUUUGAAAUGAAAAACAACUAAUCCAAUAACUCUAAUUCACUUUAGCACAUUUCUAAAGUGUGGGGACGGAACCCAUGACGACACGGGAAGAACAUGCCACACCAUGGCAGAGACUUGAAGCCUGGUCCCAAAGGUAACAGUGCUAAGCAGGGCACCAUCGUGCCACCACAUAGAGAAAUGAUUUGUGAUAUGUCUGGUUAUGCCUGCUGUUUUUGUUUAUUUCUAUAAGCGAUAGGCCUACCUGAUACAAGUAAAGGUAAAUAUGUACUUAUAAGGCAAACAAAUCAAAGAAUUCAAACGUACGGCAUAAAAACAGCAGUCGGGUCUAAAUCUCAGGAGAACUAACCAUGUGACACCCAAAUGAUGACCCCACUCAUUCCGGAUCUAACAUCCAUUAGACUGAGCAGUUUAGACCCUGCUCCGUAGGAGAAUGAGCUUUAAUGAGAGAAAAGCAUUUUUAUGAUUAAUGAAACCAAAUCGAAUAACGCCAUCUUGUGUGUUCUGAAGGGGGUUUCGAGGUAGCUCUACACUCUGUGACUGUAUUUUUAGAAAACAAAUUAACAAAUGAGUAUAUGCCUACAACUAAUACAAUGAAUGUGAAUCACAGAUGCAUUAAUUUUUUUUUAUUAAUUGUAUUCUAUUUAUGUGAAUCGAACAGUAGGAGAAACGAGAAAACUCGGUCUUGCGUCUGAACCACUGAUGCUGUAGUUCGAGACUGAUUCAAGACCGAAUAGAAAUGCUGGUCUCGAAACCAAGACCGGCCUGGACUAGUACAACACAGGAAGCCAAUGCCGAAUUACUUACCUUUAUGGUUUUUCCCGUACAUUUACGAAAAACAGAAUCCACCGUCUUUGUCUGCGUAGUAAUAACCUAAUGGCGAACUCGAAAAAGUGUUUCAAAACCUUUGCGAUACCGUUUAAAUGAACUUUGACCAGUACUUCUGGACUUGAUAAGUCCUUAUCAAGAUUAGACUAUACAUGCACUGUAAAACCUAACAGUAUUUCUUAAUAGAAGUAAGUUCAUAUAACUUAUAAUUUUGCCUAAAAACUGGAUUCACUCAUUUCCACAAAUUUGACUUUAAAUUUACAUUUAAUUUGACAAAAAGUAAUUGUUGGAGUAGUAACUCAGUUGUUUUGAGUGUACUUAGAUUUUUGAAGCAUUUUAAGUUGUGGUGAUAUAUAAUUCCAGUUUGUUGCAGUAAUUCAUUUCCUGUUAGUUGACUUCAUGAUCACUACAAAAACAAUUAAUCAGUCCAAAUAAUUAUGUUCCUUUAAAAUUACAUUAGUUAAAUUUCUUGUCUGUAAUCAUUUAACUGAUUAGUCAACCCACAUAUAAUUAAUCAACAUACAGUCGACGUGCACGUUGCGUAACGUGGGCAGAAUCUGCAUGGGGGAAAGCAAACUGCAAUGUUGUGAAAAAUUGUGCAAAAAUUCAGACAGUUAUGUAUUUCGGUCUGAUGUGAAUUAAGCCAUGCUGGAUCAUCGGCGUGGCCAGACUUAUUUUACUGGGGCACGUUCUAAACAUAUGGCGCACGUUCUGCGUGUCUGUGCAGUGAAUCUUAACGUAGACAAUGCGCAUUCAUCCAAACCGAAGAGGAAACUGGAGGAGGAAGGUACAGUGACGCUACGCGAGCAAAUUUAUACGAGUCUUAUACCACUAAUCAGUAGCAAUGGCAAUAAUAAUGCGCAAAGCGAUUGAAGCUGGUUAAAAGUUCUCUUUUAAUCAUAUGGGGGGCUGUGCCCUAGUACAACCUUAUAUCUAGCAAUUACUCUGUAUUGGACGGUGAAAGAAAAGUAAAUAUAAGAAAUGUAACAUUUUUAUUUUUACUUUUUAGUUUAUUAGGAGUGCAGAAAGGCACUCAGCCACUCAAAGUUGCUGUGUGCCAGAAACCGGAUGUGACGUUUUGUGGCCGUUCUUUCAUUAGCCACCUGCGUGCAGGUUCUGAGUCCAGGCUGUUCAAGGUGUAGGCGGCGCGCAGUGCUGUGAAACGGCAAGUAAUCGUAUUGGGAGAACACUGGAAAGUACCCACACACGCUGCUCAAAUAUUUAAUUGCAGACAUGUCGAAUGACUUUUCUACGCCUCAGAAAAAUUAUAUUGGCGCUUUGACAGUGACGGUUAAACUUGUUAACCAGUUUGUUGCCGGGUGAAGUUGGCAUUCGUUAUUAGUCACUAACGUUACCGUUAACUAACAAGAGAAACUAAGGUAUUCUCUUCUGGAAAUGUAAGCUUUGUGGCUUCUCUAGUGCCACACAAUUACGGUUACUGAGACAUUAUAGGCUCCACCAUGGGCAGUAUUCUACAAUUUCACCAUUACCUUGCCUUUAUAUAACGACUGCAUGCGUACAUUUAGCACUUUCAAUUCCCUAAAGAUACAUUUGUUCAGAGAACAUUCUAAUAAAAGAACUGUAGGUCCCAAUUUUAUUGUUAUUUAAUCGCCCAGUAUGCACUUUUAAGCAGCCAUUUGCUGAGAAGGACAUGCUUGAUCAUCUAAGGGGACAAUUCUCACAAUUAAACGUUUCAUCCCAGUGUUGGAGUAAAAGACUAAUACUUCAUAAAGCAGCUGUCCUUGUCCUGCUGACUUGAGGAGGACCUACCAUCCAAGGCAACCAUUUAAUUUGUUAGAUUAACUGAUUUAGAUUUGAGUUCAACUUCUACAGAUGAAACAGUGUUACUCUCUGAUAACAUUGAUUCACCAGAGGUCUUCAUUGUUCCAACAUUCUCAUACGAGGUGGAGUAUGCUCUAAGAGUGGGCAAUUCUGAAUAUUUCAAAGAGGGGAAAACUGUCAAGUUAACCAGGGAUCAAAAACACAACAAACUGGAUGCAAUGGCUGCUGAAAUAUAUAAGGUUACAGCAUAUUCUAGCCACACAGAGAUUGGAAACGCUGCAGAAACUCUUGAGGAAAAAAAUACCCAUAUCUCAAAGAAAAUGGUUCCAAAACAGAAUAUGAAGGGUGGAAGAACAUCUUGCGAUUCAAAAUGGGCAACUACAGAACAAAACUGAGCAGGGCAGGCAAAAAGAUGCUGCUGUGAAUUCAGGAAAGAGGAGCAGGGCCAAUCCAGAUGCUGCAGCAUCUAGGUUCAACAUCAAAAGACCCAGAAGAGGGGAGGUUAACUUUCUUCCCAGUUAUCCCCUGGGAAUGACUAAGGACACACAGGAGACACAAAGGUUUGAGAUGGUGGAGCAGUUCAAGAAGACAGAAAGAGACAUGAUUCUCAUUCAACAACACAUGCAGCACACCUUUGCACUCAGGCAUGAAGAAAUUGAGAAUUCAGUCCAUUGCCAAAAUAAAACAAAGAUGGCUUACCCAGAACCACAGGAUCACCAAUCAGAAUCUUCCUCUUUGCUUCUUUGCUGCACUUAUACCACAUAUACCACAGCUGCUUAAGCCUUACAAAAAAGAGAACUUGAAAUUUUGGUGAGAAGAUGGAAGAACUUUUAAUGGCUUAUGAGGAACAGGACAAGAGCAUCAGUGCGGAUCGUACAGCAUUCCUGGCUGGCCUUCCACUGUAUUUAAAGGUUGAUUCAACAUGAGUCUUCAAAACUUGCAAGGAAGAGCUGAGGAGUUUAUCGCCUGUGCCGACACUCAGGUAUGUUCACUAAAAUUGUCAGUUUAUCACACAGUAUCAAAGUAUGUGUUAAUUGUUUAUAUUAUUUAUGUGUAUAGGAAAAUAUUGCUGUAUAUUGCUGUCCACCAUAAUCCAUUUAUAUAACAUUUGGUUAAAAUGUUCUUUAAAAUAGCCUCCUCCCCCUGAUCGGCAAAUUUUACCAACAGCAGUCCCAUGUGGUACAUAUUCCACCUCGAUCGGAAAGUUUUGCUGCUGGCACAUCGAAGUCAAAGUAAACGGUAUUAUCUCAGCUAUAAACAUGUAUACAGUGAGACGAGAUGACGUGGGUCCAGUUCAUAGUUAACAAUAAUGAAGGUACUUACAAUGGAAGGAAACGUAAAUUACUAUAAAUUGUCAUAUUCUAAUUUGUUUUGUCAUUUGAUUUUACUGCUUUCAGUACUUUUAUUGUCAUUAAUUUUGUUUUGUUCUUUGUGAAGCGACCUUGAGUGUUAAAAAUAAAAUAUGUAAAACUUGUAUACUUUAUUUAAACAUGUAAAAGCCUUAUUAUAAUGAGAGGCAAUUUAGUGUUUCAUAUAUUUAGAAGUUUCCUACUUCAGGAGCCCACCAGAGGCACAAUGCGAAGGUCACGGCCUCUGUAAUUGAAGAUGCUAUUGCUGACUUGUUCAAGAAGGGUGAUCUCAACUCCGUGUUAUAGCGAAUAGACCCUAACCUUAAUCUUAACCCUACCCCUAACCGGAGCUCCACUGUAUGUCCUUAAAGAUCAUGUAUUUCCUGUGGAGGUGACGUAUUUCCAGUGGAGCUCCACUCUACAGGCGUCUGCAGCUAGACUUGUUAUGGCACACACCACACAGAAAAGGUGGAGAUAAACACAAGGGCACAGGUUCUGAAGUAAGGAAGAAUUAUCUGGCCAUUGAUACUGAUGACUCAGAAUGAAAUUUUCACAAAAAGACCUUUAAAAUGUGAUGUCUUAAUAUUUAUGUUGUAUUUUUAUUAAAGACAGUUGUUAAAUUAGAAACUUAAAGAAAAUUGCUAAUGUAUGCUAA